GACGAACGCUGGCGGCGUGCCUAACACAUGCAAGUCUACGAGAAUGAGGUAGCAAUAUCUCUAGUAAAGUGGCGCAAGGGUGAGUAAUAUGUAAGUAAUUUACCCAUGGGAUCGGAAUAACGUCGAGAAAUCGGCGCUAAUACUGAAUAAUGCAGCGGCAUCACAUGGUGAUGUUGUUAAAGUUGCAGCAAUGUAACGCCUAUGGAUAAGCUUGCAGCUGAUUAGCUAGUUGGUAGUGUAACGGACUACCAAGGCUACGAUCAGUAGCUGGUCUGAGAGGAUGAUCAGCCACACUGGAACUGAGACACGGUCCAGACUCCUACGGGUGGCAG
rnacentral:rRNA from 1 species